rnacentral:rRNA from 1 species
UACGGGGGGGGCAAGCGUUGUUCGGAAUUACUGGGCGUAAAGGGUUCGUAGGUGGCCUACUAAGUCAGACGUGAAAUCCCUCAGCUUAACUGGGGAACUGCGUCUGAUACUGGGGGGCUUGAGGACAGGAGAGGAACGCGGAAUUCCAGGUGUAGCGGUGAAAUGCGUAGAUAUGUGGAGGAACACCGAUGGCGAAGGCAAUCCCCUGGGCCUGCACUGACGCUCAUGCACGAAAGCGUGGGGAGCAAACAGG